rnacentral:lncRNA from 7 species
UAUCGCAGACCCCUACAUGCCUACACACAUGAGGCUUUGCAGGGUGAGUAUCCUGCUUUCAGUUGAGCAUUUGUCCAUGGCUGAUGGCUUCAUCCAACCUUGUCAUACCAAAUAGGUUUACAACCUUGUCUCGCUGGACUGGUGGUCCGAUGAGGCGGUUUAGGAUAUACCACGGUCCAACUGAAACCAUUCACGAGAUAAACUUGAGGAGAUAGUAGCUGUGUGCUUACAUGUGUGUCUACGAGGUGGAG